CCUACGGGAGGCAGCAGUGGGGAAUUUUCCGCAAUGGGCGAAAGCCUGACGGAGCAACGCCGCGUGAGGGAUGAAGGCCUCUGGGCUGUAAACCUCUUUUAUCAAGGAAGAAGAUCUGACGGUACUUGAUGAAUAAGCCACGGCUAAUUCCGUGCCAGCAGCCGCGGUAAUACGGGAGUGGCAAGCGUUAUCCGGAAUUAUUGGGCGUAAAGCGUCCGCAGGCGGUCUUGUAAGUCUGUCGUUAAAGCGUGGAGCUCAACUCCAUUUCGGCGGUGGAAACUACAGGACUAGAGUGUGGUAGGGGCAGAGGGAAUUCCCGGUGUAGCGGUGAAAUGCGUAGAUAUCGGGAAGAACACCAGUGGCGAAGGCGCUCUGCUGGGCCAUAACUGACGCUCAUGGACGAAAGCUAGGGGAGCGAAAGGGAUUAGAUACCCCUGUAGUCCUAGCCGUAAACGAUGAACACUAGGUGUCGGGGGAAUCGACCCCUCGGUGUCGUAGCUAACGCGUUAAGUGUUCCGCCUGGGGAGUACGCACGCAAGCGUGAAACUCAAAGGAAUUGACGGCUGNGAGNGCGAGCGACACGAGGAGAGG
rnacentral:rRNA from 1 species